rnacentral:pre_miRNA from 1 species
GAUUUCAACUGAGAAAGUCAUCAGCAACAAAGUUGUAUAACUCAUCAAGAUCUAUAACUUUUAUUUUGGUCAUUUCUUAAUCCAACAAAGUGAUAUAAUAUUGUUCACGAAUUUUACAUAUAUCUUAUAUGGUUUUAUAAACUAUAAGAGGGAUAUGCAAAUUUUGUGAACAAUGUUACUAUCAUUUUGUCAGAUGAAGAAAUGACCAAAAUAAAAGUUGUAUCUGUUAAUGAGUUCUACAAUGUUCAUGGCAUUUUCAGCUGAAAUU